UACAGAGGGUGCAAGCGUUAUCCGGAUUUAUUGGGCGUAAAGCGUUUCGUAGGCGGUAUAUAAAGUCGUGCUUCAAAUACCAGAGCUUAACUUUGGGAAGGGGUGCGAUACUUAUGUACUUGAAAGACAUCGGGGUUACUGGAACUCUCAGUGUAGGAGUGAAAUCCGUUGAUAUUGAGAGGAACACCAAGGGCGAAGGCAGGUAACUAGGUGUAUUUUGACGCUGAGGAACGACAGCUAGGGUAGCGAAAGGG
rnacentral:rRNA from 1 species